rfam:Babjeviella inositovora NRRL Y-12698 unplaced genomic scaffold BABINscaffold_1, whole genome shotgun sequence.
GCAGGAGUGGUUUAGGGGUAAAAUCUAACAUUCCCAUUGUUAGGCCACGGGUUCGAGUCCCGUCUCUUGCA